rnacentral:rRNA from 1 species
GAUGAACGCUAGCGGGAGGCUUAACACAUGCAAGUCGAGGGGUAAAUGGUAGCAAUACCUGGUGGCGACCGGCGCAAGGGUGCGUAACGCGUGAGCAACAUGCCCUAUACAGGGGGAUAAUCCAGGGAAACUUGGUCUAAUAUCCCAUAGUAUUUAGAGGUGGCAUCACCACUAAAUUAAAGCUUCGGUGGUAUAGGAUUGGCUCGCGUGACAUUAGCUGGAUGGUGGGGUAACGGCUCACCAUGGCGAUGAUGUCUAGGGGUUCUGAGAGGAAGACCCCCCACACUGGGACUGAGACACGGCCCAGACUCCUACGGGAGGCAGCAGUCGAGAAUAGUCUACAAUGGCCGGAAGGCUGAUAGUGCGACGCCGCGUGAACGAGGGGAGCCCCUUUGGGGUGUAAAGUUCUUUUCAUACGAGCAGUGCUAUAUAUAUGGAUAGUAUAUAUAGAGGGAUAGUAGUAUAGGAAUAAGCAACGGCUAACUCCGUGCC